CCAUCUCCACAGCCUUCAACCAGGUGCCUGGGAAGAAGGGCAAGGCAAAACACUGGACAGAGUCAGUGGUGCAGAUGGGCAAGUCCUGGUUGGUGGGUGAAGCAGGCAAACUUGGAGAAGCCCAUCCAUGACUGAGUGUCAGACUUGAUAACGCUUUAAAAGAAAUGAUGGCUACCACUGGGAGAGAGACAGGAAAUACUUCUGCCUCCCUGUUCUAGAAAGCAUUACAUCAACAUAACCACCGUGAUUUCGAACCACUCCAGCAUGUACUGCUGCUCUGCAGAUACUGGACAGCUGAGAAGGUAAAGAAACAAACUGCCAUUAUUGGAAAUUCCGGCUGGACUUGUCCAGCCUAUUCUUCUAUUAUUAAUAGACUGAAGUCACUGACAUCCUGAUGUCAUGGAUAGCCAGUGAGCAGCUACAGGAUGAGGUUUUGUGCAUAAAAGAAUGUCUGAAACGUCACAAAGUCAAAGGCAAUUUGGAGCAAGUCUGAAGGCCAACCUUAAAGGUGACUGCAACGAGGCAAGAAUAUAAGCACAAAUGUGAAGACUAGUACAUUCAAGAUACCAGCAGGACUUUUCAGUGGCACAUAAGACCAGUGCAAAUCUGGAGCUUGAGAGAGACUCAGAAUUGGAGAAUAACUGCAAAGGUAAAGCUGAACUGAAAAAAAUCUUGUGAUAUCUACCCAGCCACCAUCAUUGUCUAUUAUACCAUAAUGAAUUGCAGCUCUACAGAUGCUGGAUUGCUUGGAAAAAAGGAG